rnacentral:tRNA from 15 species
CCUAUAGCUCAGCUGGUUAGAGCGCACGCCUGAUAAGCGUGAGGUCGAUGGUUCGAGUCCAUUUAGGCCCA